UGAGGCAGGAGAAUUGCUUGAACCCAGGAGGUGGAGGUUGCAGUGAGCCAAGAUCAUGCCACUGCACUCCAGCCUGGGUGACAGAGCGAGACUCCGUCUC
ensembl:miRNA